UACGUAGGGUGCAAGCGUUAAUCGGAAUUACUGGGCGUAAAGCGUGCGCAGGCGGCUUUGCAAGGCAGAUGUGAAAUCCCCGGGCUUAACCUGGGAACUGCAUUUGAGACUGCAUGGCUGGAGUGCGGCAGAGGGGAAUGGAAUUCCGCGUGUAGCAGUGAAAUGCGUAGAUAUGCGGAGGAACACCGAUGGCGAAGGCAGCCCCCUGGGUUAACACUGACGCUCAGGCACGAAAGCGUGGGGAGCAAACAGG
rnacentral:rRNA from 1 species